rnacentral:misc_RNA from 1 species
GUAGGUGAACCUGCGGAAGGAUCAUUAACACGUAUAACACGCGUUUUAACCAUCCCUCAACCCCUCCGUGCACCAAACACACCUUUUAACCUAAAAUCCUGUCUGCGGUUUCGAGGUCGGCGUAACAAGCCGGCGUCGAGCCGUGGGUAGGUCGCUCCAGCUUAAUUCUUUGGGCUUUAUUGCCUGUUUUAUUUAAGCGUGCGUCUCAUUCACUUGAGAUGGCAGGGCGUCACAACAAACCCUUGACUAUUAUUACUGAAACCCCCCCCCUUAACUUGGGCACCGCGGCUUCGGCUAAAGUGUCUGGUUAAAACAAAAAUACAAAAACAACUCUUAACAACGGAUAUCUUGGUUCUC